rnacentral:lncRNA from 1 species
GCUAUUUUUAACAGAUAUAUUUAUUUUAUUACAACUUGCUGUCACAAAUUCAUCACAACCACAGACAUUCUGUAACUAAACUUUGCUACAUAUUUGGUCAACAGAUUGCUGGUGGUUUUACUGCAUCAUGUGUGGGAGAUACUUAGACCUGAGAAGAGUCAGAACUACUAACCCAACAAUACUCGAGCUUUGUCCUUUUAAACUACUGACAUUGCUAGAACUUCUGCAUCUUUAAAGAUCUUUCUAUGAAGAUAAAAAAGAACAAAAAUCUCAUCCAAGAACAAUUUAACAAACUUUCCAAUCAAAGUUUUAAGACGUUCCUUAACAUUCAGCAAAGUAGCAUCUUCCCACUUCCUUUUUCUCAGUACCUCCUCCAAACAUGUAUUAGAAACCACAGUUUGCUGUUCCAGUUUGUCUUCUGUUCUCUGAUGGUCAUCAUGUUCUGGAGGAACACAGCAGUUCUGAUCCUGAUCCAGCUGAUUCAGCCACAAAUGAUCUUUGCAGAUCCACCGUUAACUGAGCACAGAAGCCUGAAGGUUUCCAGAGGCGAUUCAGUCACUUUGACUUGUAACGUGCCCCUAAAUGAGGGAGCAGUCUUCCAAUGGAGCAAAGAGAAUGUAUCAUUUCAUCGUUCCAUCGUCCUCAGUGCCGCUAUUCCUAAUUUAGCUUCUCUUAAGAUGAGUAUAAAGUCCGACCUCCCCACAAAGUUGACAGUAGUGAAUGUUCAAGAAGAAGAAGAAGGACUUUACAGUUGUACUGUAGGUGACAGAAAUGGAUUUAGAGAAAUAACAUGGAAUUUAACUUUGUCUGAGGAAGUUAAAGGAACAAAUCGUUCCGUUUAUUCUGUUCUGAGAAUCCCGAUUGCAGCAGGAUUUCUUCUGUGUUGCGUCAUUUUAGUCGUCUGCGUCCACAGAAAAUAUGGAAGAAGAGAGUCUCAGUGAGACGAGAUUGUCCUUCUCUCCAGUUUCCACUCAAAGUCUCUGUCUUUAUCCCAACUCCGCCAUCUGGUGGAAAAACGGAGAAUUACAAUUAAAUGUUAUUUCCUGCGAGAGCCAGAACCCAUUAUAUGUAUGUCAAAUAUUUACAAAGAACUUGCUGUAAUAAAGAUAACAAUAAUACAGAGAAUGUUUGGUUUAAGCCUGUAAAUUCAUG